rnacentral:rRNA from 1 species
UAAUACGUAGGUGGCAAGCGUUGUCCGGAAUUACUGGGUGUAAAGGGAGCGUAGGCGGGGAUGCAAGUUGAAUGUGAAACUUAUCGGCUCAACCGGUAAUUGCGUUCAAAACUGCAUUUCUUGAGUGGAGUAGAGGCAGGCGGAAUUCCCAGUGUAGCGGUGAAAUGCGUAGAUAUUGGGAGGAACACCAGUGGCGAAGGCGGCCUGCUGGGCUCUAACUGACGCUGAGGUUCGAAAGUGUGGGUAGCAAACAGG